rnacentral:rRNA from 1 species
CCUACGGGAGGCUGCAGUGGGGGAUAUUGCACAAUGGGGGGAACCCUGAUGCAGCGACGCCGCGUGGGCGAUGGAGUGCUUCGGCAUGUAAAGCCCUAUCAGCAGGGAAGAAAAUGACGGUACCCACAGAGGAAGCACCGGCUAACUCCGUGCCAGCAGCCGCGGUAAUACGGAGGGUGCAAGCGUUGUCCGGAAUCAUUGGGCGUAAAGAGUUCGUAGGCGGCAUGUAAAGUCAGGUGUUAAAGGCGCAGGCUCAACCUGUGUAUGGCACUUGAUACUUGCAAGCUGGAAUGCGGUAGAGGUAAAGGGAAUUCCUGGUGUAGCGGUGAAAUGCUUAGAUAUCAGGAGGAACAUCGGUGGCAUAAGCGCUUUACUGGGCCGUAAUUGACGCUGAGGAACGAAAGCCAGGGUAGCAAAUGGGAUUAGAUACCCUGGUAGUC